rfam:Spironucleus salmonicida unplaced genomic scaffold scf7180000020647, whole genome shotgun sequence.
GCCAUCUUGUGGUGAAGCGGUCUUCGCGCUGGAUUUCAACUCCAGUUUGGUCUAUGACCCCCAGUUCAACUCUGGCUGGAUGGC